CAAUAUGAUCGCCGCUUAUGCGCUAAGCUAAGUCAGCAUUCCCACGCUGACCACUUGAAGCAUAUAUAUAUAUACACAUAUGUACAUACGGCUCUUGCCCUCUCGAUUAUGCUGAUAAGACAAAUAUGUAUGAAGCCGCCCCGCUGUUGGCGUAACCGGCAGCGCAGCUAUGCGGUCUGAGUUAUAAGAAUAAAAUCAAUAAAGACAUUCUAAAAACCGAAGUCAAACGGCACAGACGUGCCAGCGUUCUAAUUAAAGUAGUGACAUAUUACAUGGCGACCGUGACACGUGUCACGAACAUGUAGAUGACAAAGAACAGCAGCAGGCCGACCAACAGGAGAAUUACCAACAGCAGCUGCAGCAGCAGCAGUAACAUCAAAAAACGAACAACGAAAUGGAACGAAACUAUACGCAGCAGAAAUAGCAAAGCCAAGGAAGACCUGCCCGAACGACUGCGAGGGAGGAGAAGCAGUAGCAGCCUGUGCAGCCAGCACCGGCCUCAUCUAGCGCAACAAGCUAGACCCGGAGCAGUGAACCGACAGCGCUUCCUAGAGCGCCCACCGCCAAACAAAAAUUUUUCUAAAUGCACUGCGAUGCAUAAAAUUUAACUUUAAAAUCUAAAAUUGUAAAAUGGAGCGGAAUAACAUCUGCCCAAUUAGAGUGAGGCCUGUAAAGCCACACAAACACUAGGCAGAGAAAAAUGUAAAAACUGAAAAAAGGUAUUUAUUUUUGCAUUAAAUUAUAUACAUAUGUCACAAACAAAUAAAAUAAGUAAAUUUGAAGAAAAUUUCGAAAAUUUGUACACAAUGGGUUUAGUAGAUGUAAAAUCGGUAGAUUCGACAGCGAAUGUAAUAAACAAAGUCGAAGUCAAUAACACCGACCUAAAGUUAAUAACAAUACUUAUUGCUAUUAUUUUCAUUAUAAUCAUAGGACAUCUAUUAUAUAAAUUGUAUAAUCUACAUAAUAGAUGCAUAAAGAAACGCUAUCAAAGCCGGGCAGAUGACCUGGACAAAAUUUAAAACAAAUUUAUAAUGGUAACAAAAAAUUGGCUAAAAAUAAAAGAAAAAAGUCCAAAACGAAUCAUGAAUAAAAAUAUAUCAUUAUUUGAUUGAAAA